GUGAAUCAUCAAAUCUUUGAACGCAAAUUGCGCUUUCUAGCAUCCCGUGAAGCAUGCCUGUUUGAGGGUCAGUAUUAACAAAAAGCUCGGUUUGGUUGCGAAUUAUGACGUUUCCGGCGUUUGGGCUAUCUUAACUUUUUUGUUUACGGGGCUUAAAAUUGACCUUUUUUGCGCAUUUUUAGACGUACAUAACUUUUUUUUUUUAUUCGUCUAUUCUUAUUGCCAAUAUCUUUUUGAUUAGGUU
rnacentral:misc_RNA from 1 species